CCUAUGGGAGCCAGCAAGAUCACUGACCUCAGAGCCUGACAUCACAGGCAAUGAGAUGAGGAGAAGGAGGAGCUGACUCCUGCUCUCACCAAGGAGAGCAGCACCCUGAGGAGAAGGAUGUGUGACAGUGCCCUCCCUGACUCUGCCUGGGGACCCACCCUGCUCUGCUGUGUUACUGUCUUUCUCCUGGGAACAAAACACAUGGAGGCUGCAGUCAUCCAAGACCCAAGAAGCAAGGUGACAGUAACAGGAGGAAAGGUGACACUGAGCUGUCGCCAGACUUACAACCACAACAGAAUGUACUGGUAUCGGCAGGACCUGGGUCAUGGACUGAAGCUGAUCCAUUACUCAUAUGGUGUUAACAGCACUGAGAAAGGAGAUGUCCCUGAUGGGUACAAGGUCACCAGACCAAACCAAGAGAACUUCUCCCUCAUUCUGGAGAUGGCUUCCCCCUCUCAGACAGCUGUGUACUUCUGUGCCAGCAGUGAUGCACAGCAAUGUGUGGCUGUCUCCUCUCUGCACAUAAAGUAAAUUAGGAGGACAAGUUUCCUGUGUGCCCCAGGAAGUCCCUGCCUCUGUAAGCAUGGUCUGUUUGCAGGCUGUGUUUACUCUGUAUGUCGGUAGUCCCUUUGUUAACUAAGAUAAUAGCCCAGGAGGUCCUAAUUCUUUUUCUUCACUCAUCUUUUCCCCAGCCUUCCCAAGUUCUUUACUAUGCAGCUAAACUUGUCUAAAUUCCUUUACUUUCUCAUGUGUUUUGUGCUGUUUUCAACUAUGGAGAUAUUUUUAAGGACAUUUCUUCUGUACUGAAGUCAUGCCUUUCACUCUUGCUUCUGUAUCUCUCCUUCCCAUCAAAAUGUAUUUCAAGUUGGAUUGUUUUUCUUUUACUUUUUCAGAUUUUAAUUUCAUUACUUUGCUUCCUUCCCUUCUCCUCUUUCUACAUAUUCACACUUGCCCUGCUUUAAAAUUCGUGCUCUCUUAUUUUUGUAAUUAUUAAUUUAAAGGGUUUUUGUGUGAGGUGUGAAUAAAUGCAACUGGUGGUGUCUGUUUAGUGUUAUGUAUCAGUAUAUCUCCAUCUCUAUCUAUCUAUCUAUCUAUCUAUCUAUCUAUCUAUCUAUCUAUCUAUCUAUUUAUCUAUCUAUAGCUCAUGCUUUGAAAAUGGAAAAGUAAUUCCUUAUCUUCCAGAAGAGGGUUUAGCAUCCCAGACAUCAAGGUAUACAACUCAUUUUUCAGGUCUUGAUGAGUUUACAAAUAAAACCAUCAUAUUCUCUUGUU